rnacentral:lncRNA from 1 species
UGAGAGAGAGAGAGAUUUUAAUUUUAAUUUUUAAUUUUAAUUUUUAAAAUUUUAAAAUUUUAAAAUUUAAAUUUAUAAUUUAAAAUUAUAAAUUUUAAAGUUUAAAUUUCAAAUUUGAUAUUUCUAAAUUUUAAAUUUUAAAUUUGAUAUUUUUAGUUUUUAAAUUUAAAAUUUGCUAUUUUAUAUCUUUAAAAUUUAAAUUUGGUCUUAAAUUUGAAUUUUGAUAUUUAAAAUUAUAAUUUCAAAUUUUAAAAUUUAAAAGUUAAAAUUUUCAAUUUCCAAUUUUAAAUUAUAAGUUGAAAAUUUAAAAAAUUUAAAUUCAAUUAUAGGGAUAAUAUCAUUAUUUUAUAUUUAUAACUAACAACUAUUCCUCUUAUUCCCAAUAACCAUCCAAACUUAAUUUUUCUAGUUCCAGCUUAUACUCACAUUUUCAUCCAAAUAAAAAAAUACCCUUGUUCUUAUAAAAAUUCAUACUUAUACCUAUACCUAGUAUAACUAGUUCCUACUAAUUUUUGAACCAAAUGGAGCUUUAUAUUUUAAUUUUUUUUUAAUAUAUAUCUUUAUAAAUGUUAAAGAAAUUGUGAUUAGCCUCAACAAUCCUACAACAUCAAUCAUCUCACUCAAUAGUAUUAAAAU